rnacentral:rRNA from 1 species
GAUGAACGCUGGCGGCGUGCCUAAUACAUGCAAGUCGAGCGAACAGACGAGGAGCUUGCUCCUCUGACGUUAGCGGCGGACGGGUGAGUAACACGUGGAUAACCUACCUAUAAGACUGGGAUAACUUCGGGAAACCGGAGCUAAUACCGGAUAACUUGUUGAACCGCAUGGUUUAACAGUGAAAGACGGUCUUGCUGUCACUUAUAGAUGGAUCCGCGCCGCAUUAGCUAGUUGGUAAGGUAACGGCUUACCAAGGCAACGAUGCGUAGCCGACCUGAGAGGGUGAUCGGCCACACUGGAACUGAGACACGGUCCAGACUCCUACGGGAGGCAGCAGUAGGGAAUCUUCCGCAAUGGGCGAAAGCCUGACGGAGCAACGCCGCGUGAGUGAAGAAGGUCUUCGGAUCGUAAAACUCUGUUAUUAGGGAAGAACAAAUGUGUAAGUAACUAUGCACGUCUUGACGGUACCUAAUCAGAAAGCCACGGCUAACUACGUG